GUUGACCUCGAAGAAGUGAGG
rnacentral:rRNA from 1 species